AAAAAAUUAGUUAAAUUUAUAACAUUAAUUUGUCAAAUUAAAAUUAUUUUAAAUAUUUUUUA
rnacentral:tRNA from 1 species